GCAAGGGGCAGGGACGAGAUCUGCUUGUCUCUGAAAAUAGCACAGGGGGGAACACGAGAGUGUGGUUCGCCUGGUGCUGGAAAAACACCCGUUGUGGUUGUGCUGGGCAACAGUGAUUGCAACAUCGACCGUCCUGUUGCUACAUCUAAGAUGACCAAUGUCUCACUGCCUGGUUCAGAGGAGCAGCAUGGAUCUGAGGGAGACUCAGUAGGAAAAAUUAUACCUGUUGAUCUUCUAUACGUAAACAAAUAAACCCUGGACUAAUGGAGGAUCUGAGGCACAAGAUUGAUGUCAUGUCACAGACAAUAUGCCCAGGUUUACGGACUCCAUCUGAUGAGGACUUAAAGGCCCAGAAUAAUGGGAAAGUGGAGAAAAUGCAGAUGAAGAGAGAAAUCUCCCUCAUAAAUGGAAUCUGCCUAAUUGUUGGCAACAUGAUUGGCUCUGGGAUCUUUAUCUCACCGAAGGGUGUACUCAUGCACAGUGCCUCUUAUGGCCUGUCGUUGCUGAUUUGGGCUUUUGCAGGCAUCUUCUCAGUGUUUGGAGCUUUGUGCUAUGCAGAACUUGGCACCACCAUCACCAAGUCUGGAGCCAGCUAUGCCUACAUCCUGGAGGCGUUCGGAGGCUUCCUUGCAUUUAUCCGUCUGUGGACGUCCAUCCUGUUGAUCGAGCCAGCCAGCCAGGCUGUGAUUUCACUGACCUUCGCCAACUACCUGGUGGAGGCUUUCUACCCCACCUGUCAACCGCCAUAUGAUGCUGUCCGGCUUAUCGCUGCAGCCUGCCUCUGUAUGCUCAUCUUCAUUAACUGUGCCUAUGUGAAGUGGGGGACUCUGGUCCAGGACAUUUUCACUUACGCCAAACUCAUGGCGCUCUGCCUCAUCAUUAUUGUAGGAAUAAUGAAAAUAUCUACUGGAGGAUCAAAGAGCUUCGAUAGUCCGUUUGAGGGCUCCUCCACAGAUCCCGGAGCCAUUGCUUUGGCCCUCUACUCAGCUUUGUUCUCCUUCUCCGGCUGGGAUACACUCAACUUUGUCACUGAGGAGAUUCGGAAUCCAGAGAGGAAUCUGCCCCUGGCCAUUGCCAUUUCUAUGCCCAUAGUGACCAUCAUCUACCUGCUGACCAACGUGGCGUAUUAUGUGGUUCUGGAUAUGCCAUCAUUGCUGGCCAGUGACGCCGUUGCUGUGACCUUUGGGAAUGCAGCCCUGGGGCCGUUCAGGUGGAUCAUGCCUGUUUCAGUGGCCAUGUCCUGCUACGGAGGACUCAAUGCUUCUGUCAUUGCUGCCUCACGGCUGUUUUUCGUUGGAGCUAGAGAGGGCCACCUCCCAAACAGUCUGAGUCUGAUUCACCUGCGGCGCUACACACCAAUACCUGCACUGCUCUUCAAUGGGUUAAUGGGUCUGAUCUUCCUGUGUGUGGAGGACGUGUUCCAGCUCAUCAACUAUUUCAGCUUCAGUUACUGGCUCUACGUGGGUCUGUCUGUGGCCGGCCUUAUCUACCUGCGCAUCACUCAGCCAGACAGACAUAGGCCUGUGAAGUUGAGCUUGUUCUUCCCCUUCAUCUACUGUCUGUGUAGCCUGUUCUUAGUCAUCGUCCCUCUGUACGGAGACACCAUCAAUUCUCUCAUAGGAAUUGGCAUUGCACUGUCUGGGGUGCCGGUCUACUACGUCGCCAUUUACCUGCCUGACGAAAGGAGGCCCAAAUUCAUACGCAAGUUAAACACCUUUGUCACCAAAUACGCCCAGAUGCUGCUCUACUGCUGCCUGACUGAAUUUGACACUGAGACAGAAGCACAAGCCGACGGUAAAACGCAGUGAGCUGCAGACAAUCCGUCGCUCAUCAGCUUUCUGCCUGAGGCCUCAGCCUUGUCCAAGGCCUUGCAUGGAAAGAGUGGCGAGGCGCAGGCCCGCAACAUUUGUGAGGAUUACUUCUCCAAGGUCAAGUUAAAAAAGGCCUGACAUCUCAAAUGACUCACCAUGAAGGAGCAGGCACUUGAGAAACUGUUGCUUUCUUCUACAAAUGGGAUGCCCCUUUCUACAGAGAUCAAGGAAUAUCUUUUAUGAGGAUUUCAAAAAACUAUGGAAGAAAUAUGGAGCUCCUUUAACAUUUAAUUUUUUAGACUAGAAGACGUAACUUGCUUUCUGCCUGACAUUGUUUAAAACAAAUAUAUCAAAUGAUGAUUAUGUGGCUGGGAUUCAAUCAUCCUAUCUAGGAUCUAAUAUUUAAGUUUAAUAAGGUAUCCAUAUGUACCUUACUAUAUGCAAAUGUAAAACAAAAAAAACUAUUUAUAACUACUAUCUAACCAAUA